CAGCGAUUCAGGGAGACUGUUGGAAACGACGCGCUGGGGCUCCGUGUGAGCGGGGCGCCAGGGAUUUACAGAAAAGUAUUUUCUCCAAAAAAAGUUGCACCAAGCAGAAAAUUAACUCAACAUAAUGGCAAGGAAGUCUUUUGAAGAAAAAAUAGCAAAUGUCUUGGCAUACUUAAAGAGAGGCACAUAUCCUGAAGGAAUGAAUAAAGCUGGCAGACUGAACCUGCGUCGAUAUGCUGUCAACUUUUCAUUGGAAGGAAAGGAAUCCUUUUUUUUUUUAAUACAGUACUGACACAUUUCCAGGCUGAAGUUUC